GUCCUCGUAGCUCAGCUGGUAGAGCAUGCGCGUACAAAGCGUAGGCGGCGUCCAUGCGUGGGUUCGAAUCCCACCGAGACUA
rnacentral:tRNA from 1 species